UUACUGUCGCUUCGUCUUCUCAGUUUGGUUUGUGGUGUCAGGAAAUCUAGGGGAUCCUGUACACCUACCUCUCUGAGGUCUUGCGCAAGAUUCAGGCUCUGUGGCCUUACUGUCGCUUCGUCUUCUCAGUUUGGUUUGUGGUGUCAGGAAAUCUAGGGGAUCCUGUACACCUACCUCUCUGAGGUCUUGCGCAAGAUUCAGGCUCAUUGGCCUUACUCUUUUUUCUGAAAAAUAAGAACUUGCACAGAACACAUAUAACGAGGAUGCUCGUUGUUAAUUCAAUGAUAUUCAUCAAUCAAUAAUAUGUCGCACAUGUCACUUAAUUUCAUACUUCAGAUGAACAAAUGCAAGUAUUAACUCUUACAACGUUAACCCCUGCAGUUUUAGAGAUGCAAUAAACAAUAUUUUGCAUGUGUAAAUUUUCUCCAGGAUUUUUCAAUCUAUAGAACAUAGGCAGUUAUCAAGAUAUUUAAACUCAUAGAGAUAUAUUUUGAUUAAACUUAAUCUUACUAUUUACAUGCGAAGCCUGCCUCUUAAUAUUCUACGAAAUCAUUUGUAUUCAAUAAUAUUUACUUAAAAAUAACUGCCAAUAAUUAAAGGCAUUCUUGAAAUUCUGAAGCAAGAUAAUAAAUAUACACAGCAAAGUACGAUUUUAGUAACUGUAGCAUAAAUUUUUCAACAAUAAUUAUGCUAAUGACACGUGGCAAGUUAUGUGUACCUUAUUUCAAUAGUCAAUUGGCGUGAUUAUCCCUCAUCCUUCAGUGAAGGAUGUAAUACAAAAUUCUGAGAGCCUCCGCUGAACUAUGGGCUUACCCAUGAACGGAAGAAAUUUCAUAAUGUGCAGUUGACACUGUACAUUGUUGAUCUGCAACUUGAGAUUUUUUCCACCAGCCAUCAACUUCUUGAGUACUAAAUCUUCCUUUACCACGAUGAUUAGCUCUACUGUGCAGGCCCUGAGUGGGCCUUCUGGGGGUUGUUGUUCCACUUACUAUUGUUGAUUCAAGAUUCCUAUCUCCAACAAAAAAAAGCAGUCUUCCUGUGGGGCAGAGUUGAUAAUUCCACCAACACAAGUCUUUUCAUGAGAUGAAGUCUCAGUGCUUGCCUCAUUUGUAGAAUGACCAGCAAAGUCAUUAUCAGCUUGCAAUUUAUUAUUUUGUUCCUUCCCACUAGAGAUAGGUUUCACUUUUGUGGGCCCCCACUUUAAGGUGACUUCACUUUUGGGGGGACAACUUUUUGAUUGUCAACAGCCCCAGAAAAAGCUUCUUCAACAGGUGCGAUUCUCCUUCCUCAUCUCCUUUUCCUUUCUCUGUUUAGUUCCCGAGAGCAUUAAACUGCCUCCCAAAUACUUGCUGGUGUUGUUUCUUGUAGUGGUGUUACUCACUACUCACUCUCUUACCCAAUACAAGCCACCAAUUAACAAGCCUCCUCCUGCAGAGAGAUACGCCCCAUUUGACCCAACAGACAAACACCACGGACUCCCAAAGAAGUGGCCACCCAGUUCGAUUGAUGGAUCGAUAAGAGCUGGUGAUCAUCAAGAGAAGGCAUUCCCUGACAAAGACAAGCCAUGAAAACGCAAGGGAGUGACGUCACCACACAAGCCUGGAAAUCUGAGGUGAAACAGAGCCACACAGAUUCGAUUCUGUCAAUUCCAAUGAAACAAUAUGCCCUUGGGAGCAACGGACUCCAACCCAUGAACAAAUUGAUCUUGGAUUUGAGGAAUUCCACGUUGUCGACUUGGCUGACUUGCUCAGUCAGGCCAUCGUACUCCGCUAAAUUCAAGUUUGAAAAUUGCAUGUCUUCAAGCUGGCCAACAU
rnacentral:lncRNA from 1 species